UACGAAGGGGCUAGCGUUGCUCGGAAUCACUGGGCGUAAAGCGCACGUAGGCGGAUUGCUAAGUCAGGGGUGAAAUCCUGGAGCUCAACUCCAGAACUGCCUUUGAUACUGGCGAUCUCGAGUCCGGGAGAGGUGAGUGGAACUGCGAAGUGUAGAGGUGAAAUUCGUAGAUAUUCGCAAGAACACCAGUGGCGAAGGCGGCUCACUGGCCCGGUACUGACGCUGAGGUGGCGAAAGCGUGGGGAGCAAACAGG
rnacentral:rRNA from 1 species